CCUACGGGAGGCAGCAGUGAGGAAUAUUGGUCAAUGGACGAGAGUCUGAACCAGCCAAGUAGCGUGAAGGAUGACUGCCCUAUGGGUUGUAAACUUCUUUUAUAUGGGAAUAAAACGUUCCACGUGUGGGAUUUUGUAUGUACCAUAUGAAUAAGGAUCGGCUAACUCCGUGCCAGCAGCCGCGGUAAUACGGAGGAUCCGAGCGUUAUCCGGAUUUAUUUGGUGUAAAGGGAGCGUAGGUGGAUAGUUAAGGCAGUUGUGAAAGUUUGGGGCUCAACCGUAAAAUUGCAGUUGAAACUGGCAGUCUUGAGUAAAGUAGAGGUGGGCGGAAUUCGUGGUGUAGCGGUGAAAUGCUUAGAUAUCACGAAGAACUCCGAUUGCGAAGGCAGUUCACUGGACUGCAACUGACACUGAGGCUCGAAAGUGUGGGUAUCAAACAGGAUUAGAUACCCUAGUAGUC
rnacentral:rRNA from 1 species